CGGGGUGUAGCUCAGCCCGGUUAGAGUACACGUCUGGGGGGCGUGGUGUCGCUUGUUCGAAUCAAGUCACCCCGA
rnacentral:tRNA from 1 species